rnacentral:lncRNA from 1 species
AGGGGAUCAAGACGAAGAUUUUGGCGUUGGUUUCACUGGAUUUGGAUAAACGAGCAAAAAGUAGUGAGGGUUUGAAGAUUAGGGACUAAUCUGUAAGAAAACUAUUCAUGGAUAGGUCCCUGGCUUUUCUUUAAUGACUUUUAGCUAGGCAUGAUGAUUUCAAUGAUGCUCACAUAAAAGAUAAGAAUUGAAACAUAAACAGAACAUCAUGAAGAAUAUGACUAGCAUAUUUAAAUUUAACCCACUUCCUAUUACUAGGGAUUUUGUGAGCACAUAAUUUAUAGGAACAAGAAUCAACUAGCAUAGGAAGGCAAAACAAGUAUAACUUCAAAAAUUUAAGCACAUAGAGAGGAAACUUGGUAUUAUUUCUACUCCUACAAGAAUAUAUUCCUCCUCCUAAUAAUUUUCAGUAGCAUCAUGAGUGAAUUCAACAAUAUAACCAUCACAUAAAGCAUUCUUUUCAUGAUCUACAAGCAUAGAAAUUUUUCUACUCUCCACAUAAGGAAAAUUCUUCUCAUUCGGAAUAGUGGGAUCACUAAUUCCUAAUGUCGACACUCUUCCAAACCCGCUUUAGAUGAUAGUAUUAUUCAUACUCCAAAAGAUAUAAGUGAAGUUCAUGGAUCAUUCUACAAUUAAUAUUGACUAACCAAUAUCCAAGCUCAAAAUAUAUAAGUGAAGCACACGCAGCAUUCUAUAAAACCAUACUCAAAAGAUUUAAGUGAAGCACAAAGAGCAUUCUAUAAGGUCAUACUCAAAAGAUAUAAGUGAAGCACAUGAAUCAUUCUAUAAAUUGAUGAAGGGACAUCUCAUACUAGCAUGGUUCUUAAGAAAAAAAACACACAAAGGACACAAAUCAUGUGAACAAAACAAAAACUGAGGUAUACCGAUAAUUGUUGAAGAAGAAAGGUGGGAUGCCAACUGGGGCAUCCCCAAGCUUAGAUGAUUGAGUAUCCUUGGAAUAUUUACUUGGGGUGCCUUGGGCAUCCCCAAGCUUGAACUCUUGCCUCUCUUUAUUCUUCUCACAUCGGUAACUCCUCGUUCUUCGAACACUUCAUCCACAAAAACUUAACAAAAACUUUGUGAGAUCCGUUAGUAUACUAAAGCAAAUCACUACCUUUAGGUACUGUAAUGAACUAAUUAUUUAUUUAUAUUGGUGUUAAACCUACUGUAUUCCAACUUCUCUAUGGUUCAUACCCCCCGAUAGUAGCCAUAGAUUCAUCAAAAUAAGCAAACAACGCGCGAAAAACAGAAUCUGUCAAAAACAAGACAGUCUGUAGUAAUCUGGAAGUUUAGUAAACUUAUGUAACUCCCAAAAUUAUGAAAUAAAUUUGACAAUUUGAAAAUUUUGUACAUAAGUAAUGUACAAAAAGUUUCAGACCCAUUUGACAUUCUAGUAAAAAAAUGUAAAAUCACGCGCUACAGCCAAAGUUUCUGUUUUUUGUUCUGCACAUAGUAAACAAGCAAUCUAAUCAUCCUAAAACCAAAGGUUGGCACAUUAUUUUUAUAAUACAAUGGAUAUACACAAAGGGAUAAUUAUUUACAGAGAAACUUCCAUGAAAAAUUCUACAUUGUUUCUGUGAGAAUGAACACAAGUGCUCAAUGUCGACCCUCACUUCUUCAAUGCAUAACUUUCCAAUCACUUCUCUUUUUGAAAAAAAAUUAGGCAUGAAAGGCAAGUAAAUUUUUUCAUAUUUUUAUUCUUUUAAUUUUUUUGUACGUUUCACCCACAACUAAACAGAAACAAAAAGGAAAAACAAAAUCUACUUAGUGAAGAAAGCAAACAAGCACACACGAGAAUAUCAACCCCACGCUAUUGCUCCCCGGCAACGGCGCCAGAAAAGAGCUUGAUAAUCCCCAAGUGCAGGGAAUCAUCGUAGCAAUUUACAAAGGUGGAAGUGAUAAGUAUGGAGUGUCGAACCCGCAAGGAGCUAAAGGUAAGAUCAAUAUUCUCUCAAGUCCUAUCUGCCACUGAUACGACUCUACGUACACCGAACGUUUGCUUCCAACUAGAAACGAGAAAUAAAACUACGUUGUGGGUAUGAAGAGGAUAACUUUGCAUGGUAUCGGAGAGCUAAAAUAUAAAAGUAAGUGAUGUUAUCAUAAAGUUAGAAUAUAUUACUAAGUAUUAUAAAUAGCGAGUGUGGAAUAAUGGUGGAUCGGUGUGCGGAAUUGUCCUAGGCAAUUGUUAACAAGAUCGGUAAUCACUAUUGCAAUUUCAUAUGAGGGAGAGGCAUAAGCUAACAUACUUUCUUUUCUUGGAUCAUAUGCAUUUAUGAUUGGAACUCUAGCAAGCAUCCGCAACUACUAAAGAUCAUUAAGGUAAAACCCAACCAUAGCAUUAAAGCAUCAAGUCCCCUUUAUCCCAUACGCAACAACCCCCUUACUCGGGUUUAUGCUUCUGUCACUCAAGCAACCCACUAUAAGCGAAUCAUAAACGUAUUGCAACACCCUACAGCGGGAAUCCCUCACGCUUGCGCGACACGGAGGGCACAAUAGGAUAGCACCAAAACAAAAAAUACAACUCAUACCAAUCUAUAUCAUCAAUCAACCCAAAGACAAAGGAUAUCUACUCAAAACAUCAUAGGAUGGCAACACAUCAUUGGAUCAUAAUAUGUGGCAUAAAGCACCAUGUUCAAGUAGGUAUUACAGCGGGGUGCGGGAGAGUGGACCGCGUAAAAGAGAUGAGGAUGGUGAUGAUGGUGGUGAUGUUGAUGAAGACGAUCACCGCGGCGAUGAUUCCCCUCCCGAUGGCACUCAGGCGCCACCAAGAGAGAGGAGGAGAGGUUCUCCCCCUUGUGCUUCCUCCUCCAUGGCCUCCCCCCUAGAUGGGGACAGGUUCUCCCUCUGGUCCUUGGCCUUCAUGGCGAUGAUGGCCCCUUUGGGAUCCUCCUCCAUGGCCUCCGGUGAUGAUGGCCCCCUCCGGCAGGGUGCCAGAGAGGGCCUAGAUUGAUUUCUCGUGGCUACAGAGGCUUGCGGCGGCGGAACUUUCGAUCUAGGUCAUUUCUGGGGCUUUCUGUAUUUAUAGGAAUUUUUGGCGUUGGUUUCACGUCAGAGGGGGUCUUCGAGUCGUCCACGAGGCAGGGGCCCAUGCCCAGGGGGGUGGGCGCGCCCCCACCCUCGUGGACAGCCCGGGACUCUUCUGGCCCAACUCUUUUGCUCCAGGGGCUUCUUUUGGCCCACAAAAAAUCAACAAAAAUUGGCACGUCAAUUGGACCCCGUUUGGUAUUCCUUUUCUGUAGAACUCAAAAACAAGGAAAAAACAGAAACUGGCACUGGGCUCUAGGUUAAUAGGUUAGUCCCAAAAAUCAUAUAAAAUAGCAUAUAAAUGCAUAUAAAACAUCUAAGAUGGAUAAUAUAAUAUCAUAAAAUACUUCAUAAAUUAUAGAUACGUUGGAGACGUAUCAGCAUCCCCAAGCUUAACUCCUGCUCGUCCUCGAGUAGGUAAAUGAUAAAAGAAAUAAUUUAUGAAGUGUGAAUGCUAGCAGGUGCACAAGUUUGAUCAAUUAUAAUUUCAAUCACCUUUUCUAGCAUCAUUAUAUAUCAUAACAGUAGCUCAUCUCAUAAAACUUUUCAUGAUCAAGUAACAAGCUAUUCACAUGUUAAAGUUUAGAUAAUAAACUUUCUUAAAAACUCAUCUUAUUUUCAGGAAGGGUCUAUGUCAGAGCUUUGAUUUAGCAAACUCCACAUACUCAACUAUCAUUUAAUCUUUCGCAAUUUGUAACACUCACGUGAUAUUUAUGGGUUCAAAGUUUUAAUCGGACACAGAGAAAGAUAGGGGCUUAUAGAUUCGCCUCCCAACCUUUUACCUCAAGGGUAAUGUCAACAAUAAUAGUUCAUGAUAACUUACAUCCAAUUGGAUAUAUAUAUCAGGAUCUUUCCAACACAAUGUGCUUGCCAAAGGAUAAAAUGUAAAAAUAAAAGGUGAAGAUCACCAUGACUCUUGCAUAAGGUAGAAGAUAAAAGUGAAAGAUAGGCCCUUCGCAGAGGGAAGCAGAGGUUGUCAUGUGCUUUUAAGGUUGGAUGCACAAAAUCUUAAUGCAAAAGAAUGUCACUUUAUAUUGCCUCUUGUGAUAGAGACCUUUAUUAUGCAGUCUGUCGCUUUUAUUUCUUCCCUAUCACAAGUUCGUAUAAAGCUUAUUUUCUUCGCACUAAUAGAUCAUACAUAUUUAGAGAGCAAUUUUUUAUUGCAUGCACCGAUGACAACUUACUUGUAGGAUCUUACUUAAUCCAUAGGUAGGUAUGGUGGACUCUCAUGGCAAAACUAGUUUAACGGAUAUUUGGAAGCACAAGUAGUAUCUCUACUUGGUGCAAAGAAUUUGGCUAGCAUAAGGGGGAAAGGCAACCUCAGCAUGUUGGAUUAAUGAGUGCUCACAAUUACAAAAGAUGUCCAAGAUAGUAUAUUUAUAUGUGAAAUCUCUCUUCCUUCAAUAUUCUUUCAUGAAUUGUUCAAGUGACCAAUUCUGAGUUUGCUAACCUUCAAUAAGUUUACUACCUAUACUUAUUAUGUGUGAAGUCAUUACUCCCCAUGUUAUAAGCAUAUGAAACAUAUAUAAAUUCAGAUUUAUGAUAUUCAAUUCAUUCAACCCUUUACUCAUAGGAUAUACGUGAAGCACGUGAGUAAAUGACAAACUACUCCAAAAAGAUAUAAGUGAAGAACACUGAGUAGGCAAAUAAUUAACUAGCCAUGGGAGGAUUCUAUUUCAUUCAAGAUUUCAGAUCCAAUGAUUUUAUUCAAACAGCAAGUAAAAUUGAAAAUACGCUCCAAGCAAAACACAUAUCAUGUGAUGAAUAAAGAUAUAGCUCCGAGUAAGGUAUACCGAUAGUUUUGAAGAUGAAAGAGGGGAUGCCUUCCGGGGCAUCCCCAAGCUUAGGCGCUUGAGUCUUUCUUUAAUAUUAACUUGGGGUGCCUUGGUCAUCCCCAAGCUUAGGGUCUUUCCACUCCUUAUUCUCCUCAUAUCGAUAUCUCACCCAAAGCUUGAAAACUUCAAUCACACAAAACUUAACGGAACUUCGUGAGAUAGGUUAGUAUGAUAAAGAGUAAACCAUUCACUUUGGUAGUGUCAAAGACAAGGUUCAUAAUUUUUCUCACACAAUGACUACUGUACCAUAUCAUUUAUACAAUUUAUAUUGAAAAAUAUAAGCCAUAGAAACUAAACAAGCAAACUAUGCAAUGAAAACAGAAUCUGUCGGAAACAGAAUAGUCUGUAAUGAUCUGAACAGCAACCAUACUUCUGCUACUACAAAAAUUAUGAGAUAAAUUUUUGGACGUGAGGAAUUUGUCUACUAAUCUUCUUCAAAAAGAAUCAACUCAAAAGCACUCUUCUGUAAAAAAAAUGGUAGCUAAUCCCGUGAGCGCAAAGUUUCUGUUUUUUACAGCAAGAUCACAUUAACUCUCACCCAAGUCUUCCCAAAGGUCUUACUUGGCACUUUAUUGAAAAAAGAUAUGAAACAUGAUUACUACAGUAGAUUAAUCAUGUAAACACACAAAAACAGUAAGGGCUAAUAUUGGGUUGUCUCCCAACAAGCGCUUUUCUUUAAUGCCUUUUAGCUAGGCAUGAUCAUUUCAAUGACGCUCACAUAAAAGAUAAGAAUUGAAACAUAAAGAGAACAUCAUGAAGAAUAUGACUAGCAUAUUUAAAUUUAACCCACUUCCUAUUACUAGGUAUUUUGUGAGCACAUAAUUUAUAGGAACAAGAAUCAACUAGCAUAGGAAGGCAAAACAAGUAUAACUUCAAAACUUUAAGCACAUAGAGAGGAAACUUGGUAUUAUUGCUACUCCUACAAGCAUAUAUUCCUCCUCAUAAUAAUUUUCAGUAGCAUCAUGAGUGAAUUCAACAAUAUAACCAUCACAUAAAGCAUUCUUUUCAUGAUCUACAAGCAUAGAAAUUUUUCUACUCUCCACACAAGGAAAAUUCUUCUCAUUCGGAAUAGUGGGAUCACUAAUUCCUAAUGUUGACACUCUUCCAAACCCGCUUUAGAUGAUAGUAUUAUUCAUACUCCAAAAGAUAUAAGUGAAGUUCAGGGAGCAUUCUACAAUUAAUAUUGACUAACCAAUAUCCAAGCUCAAAAUAUAUAAGUGAAGCACACGCGGCAUUCUAUAAAACCAUACUCAAAAGAUUUAACUGAAGCACAAAGAGCAUUCUAUAAGGUCAUACUCAAAAGAUAUAAGUGAAGCACAAAGAGCAUUCUAUAAGGUCAUACUCAAAAGAUAUAAGUGAAUCACAUGAAUCAUUCUCUAAAUUGAUGAAGGGACAUCUCAUACUAGCAUGGUUCUUAAAUAAAAAACACAAAGGACUCAAAUCAUUGUGAACAAAACAAAAA